GAUGAACGCUAGCUACAGGCUUAACACAUGCAAGUCGAGGGGUAACAAGAGGAAAGCUUGCUUUUCUUGUUGACGACCGGCGCACGGGUGAGUAACGCGUAUCCAACCUGCCUAUAACUAGGGAAUAACCUUGCGAAAGUAAGACUAAUACCCUAUGAUUUCCUUUGAUGACAUCAGAUUAGGAAUAAAGAUUUAUCGGUUAUAGAUGGGGAUGCGUCUGAUUAGCUUGUUGGCGGGGUAACGGCCCACCAAGGCAACGAUCAGUAGGGGUUCUGAGAGGAAGGUCCCCCACAUUGGAACUGAGACACGGUCCAAACUCCUACGGGAGGCAGCAGUGAGGAAUAUUGGUCAAUGGGCGGAAGCUUGAACCAGCCAUGUCGCGUGCAGGAUGACGGCCCUAUGGGUUGUAAACCGCUUUUAUACAGGAAUAAAGUUAGCCACGUGUGGUUAUUUGUAGGUACUGUAUGAAUAAGGACCGGCUAAUUCCGUGCCAGCCGCCGCCGUAA
rnacentral:rRNA from 1 species